rnacentral:rRNA from 1 species
AACCUUUGGAGAAUUAUUGAAGAAGGUUUCUAUCCUCAUGAUCCAAGCAACUUCACCCCUCGAGAAGAAGUGGACAACCAAUUCAAUGAGAGUGCUCUCUUCAUCAUCCAAGAUGCUAUCCUUCCCGAAGAUCUCCCUCAUCUUCGACCUCAUGUCAUGGCUAAAGAAGCAUGGAAGUGUGUCGAGCGUAUGUAUAGAGGAAGUGCUAGCAUUCAACGCUCCAACUAUGAAGUGGUGCAAGAUGAAGCCGAUGAGUUUGCAAUGAAAGAGGAUGAAGAACCUCGUGAGCUCUUUCUAAGAGUGACCAAACUUGUGGUCGCACUCCGAGAUCAUGGGAGUAAAGACACGGAUGACAACUGGAUCAAGCGCAAGUUCCUCAAGGCCAUGAUGCCCUACAACAAGGCCAUGUCCUCCAUCAUCCGCCAAAGACCGGACUUCCACUCCAUGACCUCUAAUGAAGUGUUGGAUGAGUUUGUUGCAAUGAACAUCUUGGAU